rnacentral:rRNA from 1 species
GACGAACGCUGGCGGCGUGCUUAACACAUGCAAGUCGAACGGAAAGGCCCUGCUUUGGUGGAGUGCUCGAGUGGCGAACGGGUGAGUAACACGUGAGUAACCUGCCCUUGACUUUGGGAUAACUUCUGGAAACUGCGGCUAAUACCGGAUACGAGCUCCUGCUGCAUGGUCGGGGUUUGAAAGUUUCGGCGGUUGGGGAUGGACUCGCGGCCUAUCAGCUUGUUGGUGGGGUAGUGGCUUACCAAGGCUAUGACGGGUAGCCGGCCUGAGAGGGUGACCGGCCACACUGGGACUGAGAUACGGCCCAGACUCCUACGGGAGGCAGCAGUGGGGAAUAUUGCACAAUGGGCGGAAGCCUGAUGCAGCAACGCCGCGUGCGGGAUGACGGCCUUCGGGUUGUAAACCGCUUUCAGCAGUGAAGAAGCGAGAGUGACGGUACUGGGUAAAGAAGCACCGGCUAACUACGUG